rnacentral:rRNA from 1 species
ACGCACGCUGGCGGCGUGCUUCACCCCUUCCAGUCGCACGGAAAGGCCUCUUUCGGGGGGUACUCGAGUGGCGAACGGGUGAGUAACACGUGAGUAACCUGCCCUUGACUUUGGGAUAACUUCAGGAAACUGGGGCUAAUACCGGAUAGGAGCUCCUGCUGCAUGGUGGGGGUUGGAAAGUUUCGGCGGUUGGGGAUGGACUCGCGGCUUAUCAGCUUGUUGGUGGGGUAGUGGCUUACCAAGGCUUUGACGGGUAGCCGGCCUGAGAGGGUGACCGGCCACAUUGGGACUGAGAUACGGCCCAGACUCCUACGGGAGGCAGCAGUGGGGAAUAUUGCACAAUGGGUGGAAGCCUGAUGCAGCAACGCCGUGUGCGGGAUGACGGCCUUCGGGUUGUAAACCGCUUUCGCUCAUGACGAAGCUUUGUGUGACGGUAGUGGGUAAAGAAGCACCGGCUAACUACGUG